rnacentral:hammerhead_ribozyme from 1 species
GCACUUCUGCGGAGUCCCAAAAUAGGACGAAACGGCCGUCCGGUGC